AGUCUCUGACCUGGGUAGAGUGGCAUCUGGUUGGUAGUGCCUGCCUCAUAUUAGCCAGGGACAAAGCAACGCCUUGUUUAUCCCAGCUUGGCUUUUGGUCUGUGCCUGUGCCUAGUUCAUGCCCUGGACAUGUGG
rnacentral:snoRNA from 12 species